AUUGAACGCUGGCGGCAGGCCUUACACAUGCAAGUCGAGCGGAAGAAGGGAGCUUGCUCCUGACUUCUGCGGCGGACGGGUGUGUAAUGCCUAGGAAUCUGCCUGGGAGGGGGGGAUAACGUCCGGAGACGGGCGCUAAUACCGCAUGCGUCCUGAGGGAGAAAGUGGGGGAUCUUCGGACCUCCCGCUAUCAGAGGAGCCUAGGUCGGAUUAGCUAGUUGGUGGGGUAAAGGCCUACCAAGGCGACGACCCGUAACUGGUCUGAGAGGAUGAUCAGUCACACUGGAACUGAGACACGGUCCAGACUCCUACGGGAGGCAGCAGUGGGGAAUAUUGGACAAUGGGCGCAAGCCUGAUCCAGCCAUGCCGCGUGUGUGAAGAAGGUCUUCGGGUUGUAAAGCACUUUAAGUCGGGACGAAAGGCAGUAAGUUAAUACCUUGCUGUUUUGACGUUACCAUCAGAAUAAGCACCGGCUAACUUCGUG
rnacentral:rRNA from 1 species